rnacentral:rRNA from 1 species
UACGUAGGGGGGCAAGUGUUGUCCGGAAUCAUUGGGCGUAAAGAGCGUGUAGGCGGCCAGAUAAGUCCGCUGUGAAAUCUCGAGGCUCAACUUCGAGCUGUCGGUGGAAACUGUCUGGCUAGAGUCCGGAAGAGGAGAAUGGAAUUCCUGGUGUAGCGGUGAAAUGCGCAGAUAUCAGGAAGAACACCCGUGGCUAAGGCGGUUCUCUAGUACGGUACUGACGCUGAGACGCGAAAGCGUGGGGAGCGAACAGG